rnacentral:rRNA from 1 species
GUUGUAUGGUUAAGUGACUAAGCGUACACGGUGGAUGCCUGGGCAGUCAGAGGCGAUGAAGGACGUACUAACUUGCGAUAAGCGCAGAUAAGGCAGUAAGAGCCGUUUGAGUCUGCGAUUUCCGAAUGGGGAAACCCAACUGCAUAAGCAGUUACUGUUAACUGAAUACAUAGGUUAACAGAGCAAACCGGGGGAACUGAAACAUCUAAGUACCCCGAGGAGAAGAAAUCAACCGAGAUUCCGGUAGUAGCGGCG